rnacentral:rRNA from 1 species
UACGGAGGGGGCUAGCGUUGUUCGGAAUUACUGGGCGUAAAGCGCACGUAGGCGGACUGUUAAGUCGGGGGUGAAAUCCUGGGGCUCAACCUCAGAAUUGCCUCCGAUACUGGCAGUCUCGAGUGCGGGAGAGGUGAGUGGAAUUCCCAGUGUAGAGGUGAAAUUCGUAGAUAUUGGGAAGAACACCAGUGGCGAAGGCGGCUCACUGGCCCGUAACUGACGCUGAGGUGCGAAAGCGUGGGGGGCAAACAGG